UGGGUUCACGGCACCUUGGAUGGACUGCACUGUGAAUCAUCAAGGUCUAAAAGUAUGUUGUGCACGCUGUGUGAGAGAUGUUACACGAGGGGCGCCUUAAGCUUCAGGGAGAUCUGGGGGAACUUGGAAGAGCUUCAAGAAUUAGCAGGAUUGGACGCUGUUUGAAACCAGAGUCAAGGGUGGUUGGUGAAGGCAGGGACUGUAUCAUCCUAAAGCAAAUUCUCUGAGAACAGGGUCUGAUCUGAGUGGCCGGACUGAGUGACCCUGCUCUCUGCAGCUGACCAAGGCUUUACCUGAAGAGAACUUCUUCACUUCAGAUUUAAGUCAAUCCUUCCAGGAAACUUAUUAUGGUUUUCAGAGCUACAUCUCGUGUCACAAAAUGUAUGUUGCUUUACGAA